GGCAGUGGUAGCUCAGUGGUUAAGGCAUUGGCCUACUGAACGGAAGGCUUUGAGUUCAAAUCCCAGCAGUGCCA